rnacentral:rRNA from 1 species
GUUUAUGGCCAUGCCACCCCGAACAAGCCCAAUCCUGUCUGAUCUCAGAAGCUAAGCAGUGUUAGUACUUGGAUGGGAGACCACCUAAGAAGACCAGGUGCUCUAGGCA